GAAAAAGCGUACAGUUACGCAUUGCCCACACGACCAUUUGAAAAACAUUCAGACAUGGGCGAUAAAGUAACAGCUAAAAAGCACAGGCCUUCUGUUUCCCUAUACCCUGGACCAGGGAAAAAACUGCUCAAACUUCCAUACCCUUUCGAUAAAGAAAACCAAGAGAAUUGUAACGCGUUCGAGGAGGCAUACUUCCGUAAAAAAAGACUCGAUCGAGCCCUCUUAGAGUUUGAUGCUGCAGUUGAAUUCAGGUGUCAACAGAUCAGGCACUAUGGAGAUUUGAUGAAGCUCACCAUUGAGCAGUCUAUAAAUUUGUGGAAACUGCAAUUUCCACCGUUUAUUCUCAAAAUGCCCCUUUCAGAAUUCGUGGAGAAAUACGGCGGUAGUGUGGCUACGGCAGUCGAUGCUUACACCAAGACUAAAAUUAAGGCGUUCAUUUCCUCCUCCAUCAAGGGUCAUGACCUCGCAGGUUCCUAGCCCAUUUUUCCCUAUCACAACCCGCUAUUGAUCCUCCACCUUACUGGGCAUUUCUCAAGACUACGUUACACUCUUCUACACGAAAUCUCUAGAAACCGAUAGGAUGGUUGAAAUAAUUGGAGGCAUCCUAGGUAAGUAAUCCGUAUCAUCUAUACAUGCACGUAAUUUUAGCCUUCCUACGACUAGUGAAAGGAGCUGAUGCAUACUUGAUGCGCGUGUGAGCUCCAUAGCCCGUAACCGAUUGAAUGUUUGGUCUUCUAGCCGUUGUAAAAUUUCCCUCAAAUUGGCAGUUUCUGCUGAUAAAAAAAUUCCGGUUUCAAGGAGUCAUGGCACUUUCGGCAUGAUUGUGUCGGCGAGGGGCUGUUCAUCAAAAGAGCCGUUAUACUCUUUCUUCCGGGGCAAAGUGUUCCUCAUAAAGAGGCCCAAAAGAAAAGUUUUUCAAGUGUAUAGCUUAUAUGUAGACACAUUGCAAGGUGUUGAACUUCCUCUUUGCUGCGGAAAACUGCAACAAGUGUCCAAAAGAGAAUUUUUCGGUUUUUUUGGCGUGGUUGAACCAUCGAAUGCCUUGAGUGUUUGGUAUUCAGCGUGAGAUUAUGUUUUUAUGUUUAGUCUCAUGUAUGUCAAUGUGAUUUGUCUUCUCUCGUCCGAGCGCACCUGAGACGAGAGAAGACCCCUCUUGGACGGAGCACUGCAUACGAAAUCGGUACCGUAGGCUGUAAGCGAUAGCACUUGUACUUGAGCAUGUUUACCUUUUAGACAAUUGCGACGACAUGUUUUAUGAAAGAAUGCCAAGGGUACAGGUUGUCUCAAGUCAGUCCAUAUCGAUUCACUGCGGUAGCAGGGUUUUGGAUAUUUUGGUGAUGUG